rnacentral:rRNA from 1 species
AGAGUUUGAUCCUGGCUCAGGAUGAACGCUGGCGGCGUGCCUAACACAUGCAAGUCGAACGGAGAAUACAUUUUUGAAGCAAUUAGCUUGCUAAGAGUGGAAAUGUUGUAUUCUUAGUGGCGGACGGGUGAGUAACGCGUGGAUAACCUGCCUCACACAGGGGGAUAACAGCGAGAAAUUGCUGCUAAUACCGCAUAAGCGCACAGCAUCGCAUGGUGCAGUGUGAAAAACUCUGGUGGUGUGAGAUGGAUCCGCGUCUGAUUAGCUAGUUGGUAGGGUAGCGGCCUACCAAGGCAACGAUCAGUAGCCGGCCUGAGAGGGUGAACGGCCACAUUGGGACUGAGACACGGCCCAAACUCCUACGGGAGGCAGCAGUGGGGGAUAUUGCACAAUGGGGGAAACCCUGAUGCAGCGACGCCGCGUGAGUGAAGAAGUAUUUCGGUAUGUAAAGCUCUAUCAGCAGGGAAGAAAAUGACGGUACCUGACUAAGAAGCCCCGGCUAACUACGUGCCAGCAGCCGCGGUAAUACGUAGGGGGCAAGCGUUAUCCGGAUUUACUGGGUGUAAAGGGAGCGUAGACGGCAAGACAAGCCAGAUGUGAAAGGCGGGGGCUCAACCCCCGGACUGCAUUUGGAACUGCCUAGCUAGAGUGUCGGAGAGGUAAGUGGAAUUCCUAGUGUAGCGGUGAAAUGCGUAGAUAUUAGGAGGAACACCAGU